rnacentral:rRNA from 1 species
UCCUACGGGAGGCAGCAGUGAGGAAUAUUGGUCAAUGGGCGCAAGCCUGAACCAGCCAAGUCGCGUGAGGGAUGACGGUCCUAUGGAUUGUAAACCUCUUUUGUCGGGGAGCAAGGCCCGCCACGUGUGGCGGGAAGGAGAGUACCCGAAGAAAAAGCAUCGGCUAACUCCGUGCCAGCAGCCGCGGUAAUACGGAGGAUGCGAGCGUUAUCCGGAUUUAUUGGGUUUAAAGGGUGCGUAGGCGGAAGGUUAAGUCAGCGGUCAAAUGUCGGUGCUUAACGCCGGCCUGCCGUUGAAACUGGUCU